GAUGAACACUGGCGGCGUGCUUAACACAUGCAAGUCGAACGGAAAGGCCCAAGCUUGCUUGGGUACUCGAGUGGCGAACGGGUGAGUAACACGUGGGUGAUCUGCCCUGCACUUCGGGAUAAGCCUGGGAAACUGGGUCUAAUACCGGAUAGGACCACAUUUUGGAUGGUGUGGUGGAAAGUUUUUCGGUGUGGGAUGAGCUCGCGGCCUAUCAGCUUGUUGGUGGGGUAAUGGCCUACCAAGGCGUCGACGGGUAGCCGGCCUGAGAGGGUGUACGGCCACAUUGGGACUGAGAUACGGCCCAGACUCCUACGGGAGGCAGCAGUGGGGAAUAUUGCACAAUGGGCGCAAGCCUGAUGCAGCGACGCCGCGUGGGGGAUGACGGCCUUCGGGUUGUAAACUCCUUUCGCUAGGGACGAAGCGCAAGUGACGGUACCUGGAGAAGAAGCACCGGCUAACUACGUG
rnacentral:rRNA from 1 species